CCUGGGUAAAGGUCCAGACUCAGACUAACCUGGGUAAAGGUCCAGACUAACCUGGGUAAAGGUCCAGACUCAUAAAAAUACUGUUUAACACAACACAUAUACAGUGAUGGAGACGGUGCACUAAUAGAAUGAAUAUGUGUGUUUGUUUUUAUCAUUAUUUAUUUCCUUCUGUGACGUUUGUGUCUGUGUUGUUUUAUGUAUUGACUGGUGGACACUUCUUACAUUUCGUUGUACAUGGUUCAUGUUACAAUGACAGUACAGACUAUUCUAUUCUAUUUCACAUAGAAUUUCAGCCCAAUAUUUUUGCAGUUUAUGACAAGAGCACAAACAGUGAGUUAAAAUGUCCCACAUCAGUUUUACACUGAGACGAAGGGAAAGAGAGCAGCUGAACAAGUGUGUGCAGUGGGGGGACAGAUGGAACCUGUGCAUAAGUUCAGUUGUACUGUUCUUGUCUGAGUACAGAUUCAGAUCUUCUUCUCCACAGCCCAGACGGUAUCCCAUGUUCCUUCUUCUGUGUCCACAGACAGCUGCCUGUCCACACACCUCUGAGCUCCUGCACAUCAGUAACACUUAAACCACACAGGAAAAGGAGCUCAGACACACUUUGGAAUGGCACUGAAACUGCAUUUUCUCUACAGCAGAUGUUUCAGGGUGGACACUAAGGGCUGUGCUAUGAGUAAUAUAAUGUCUUACAUACAAAAGGCAAAAGAAAUCUUGUUUGAUCAGUUUGUACCUGUUAGUGCGCUGUUCAAAUGACAGAAGCGUCUCAUCUGAGAAAAGGUCACUGAUAGAUUUAAUAUUAUUAUUAUUAUUAUUAUUUUUACUUUUUAUUUAUCCCUCCAAAAUAAAACACAUGGAGAUGUACAAAAAUCACACCAGUCUCAGUCUACAAACCACUCCAUCCAUGUCACAUGACUUUCACUCAGAACUACUUGUACUACACCUUUUACACACAGGUCAAAAACAAGUCCAGCUCAUAUUGAAUUUACACAGAUACCAACAACAUUCUCGAAAUCUGACUUCUAACAUUCCACCAGCACAGAUGAGUGUAUUUGCAAAACCAAAACAGGUGCAACUGAGGAAAAGAAAUACAAUAAAAUAAUUAAGUUACCAAAAAGCAACAUGUGUAAGUGAAAAAAAAAAAAAAAAGCAAUAUUAAAAACAAAUAGAA